rnacentral:rRNA from 1 species
AUGGACGCUGGCGGCGUGCUUAACACAUGCAAGUCGAACGAAGCACUUAUGACAGAUUCUUCGGAUGAUGGAUUAAGUGACUGAGUGGCGGACGGGUGAGUAACGCGUGGGUAACCUGCCUCAUACAGGGGGAUAACAGUUAGAAAUGACUGCUAAUACCGCAUAAGCGCACAGGACCGCAUGGUCUGGUGUGAAAAACUCCGGUGGUAUGAGAUGGACCCGCGUCUGAUUAGCUAGUUGGUGGGGUAACGGCCCACCAAGGCGACGAUCAGUAGCCGACCUGAGAGGGUGACCGGCCACAUUGGGACUGAGACACGGCCCAAACUCCUACGGGAGGCAGCAGUGGGGAAUAUUGCACAAUGGGCGAAAGCCUGAUGCAGCGACGCCGCGUGAGCGAAGAAGUAUUUCGGUAUGUAAAGCUCUAUCAGCAGGGAAGAAAAUGACGGUACCUGACUAAGAAGCACCGGCUAAAUACGUG